rnacentral:lncRNA from 1 species
AAUCCAUAAGUACUAAAAACUAUUCCAUAAGGGAUCCUAAUUAUCUCCAAUAUUCUAACUUCCCAUCGUAAAAAAUUAAACCAAACAUAAUUUAAAAUAUUAUCUCCCCUAAAAAAAACUCAAACCAAGCAUACCCUUAUAGAUAAGAUCUUACCAUAUCAUUCUUUUUUUUUUUUGUUUAAAGUCCAACAUUUAUGGCUAACAAAAGUUAAAGAUGCAAUUGACAGAAGGAAAGAACAUUGCACUUGCUCUAACACCUUUGAUAACUCGUUAUAUGUCGAAAUUCAAGUUAAAACUCCUUUCUUAAUUCAAUUAAAACCUUAAACAAGUUAUGAAAAAUUGUCUUUUAGUUUUUACUUUUUAAUAGUUUUUCUGUCCUUCC